GCAUUAGUGGUUCAGUGGUAGAAUUUUGGCCUUCCGUACAAGAGCCCUGGGUUAGGUUCCCAGCCAAUGCA
rnacentral:tRNA from 1 species